CCUGCGGAAGGAUCAUUAUUGAAAUAAACCUGAUGAGUUGCUGCUGGUUCUCUAGGGAACAUGUGCACACUUGUCAUCUUUAUAUCUCCACCUGUGCACCUUUUGUAGACCUGGAUAUCUCUCUAAAUGCUAGUCAUUUGGGAUUGAGGAUUGAUGUUAUGUCUCUCCUUACAUUUCCAGGCCUAUGUUUCUUCAUAUACCCCAAUGUAUGUCAUAGAAUGUAAUCAAUGGCCUUUGUGCCUAUAAACCUUAUACAACUUUCAGCAACGGAUCUCUUGGCUCUCGCAUCGAUGAAGAACGCAGCGAAAUGCGAUAAGUAAUGUGAAUUGCAGAAUUCAGUGAAUCAUCGAAUCUUUGAACGCACCUUGCGCUCCUUGGUAUUCCGAGGAGCAUGCCUGUUUGAGUGUCAUUAAUAUAUCAACCUCUUCAGCUUUUGCUUGUUGAGUGUUGGAUGUGGGGGUCUUUUUGCUGGUCUUUCUCAGGUCAGCUCCCCUUAAAUGCAUUAGCGGAACAAUUUGUGGACCGUUCAUUGGUGUGAUAACUAUCUACGCUAUUGACGUGAAGCAGUUCAGCUUCUAACAGUCCAUUGACUUGGACAAAUUUUCAUUAAUGUGACCUCAA
rnacentral:rRNA from 1 species